AUGACAGUGAAAGAAUUAAAAACUAUGGAUGGGAAGAUAUUCUGCCGACGGACUGCUUGUGAUUGCCAGAAUCCAAGUGUUGACCUUUUCUGUUGUCCAGAGUGUGACACCCGGGUCACAAGUCAAUGUUUAGAUCAAAACGGACACAAGCUCUAUCGAAGUGGAGACAACUGGACUCACAGCUGCCAACAGUGUCGGUGUCUGGAAGGAGAGGUAGAUUGCUGGCCACUAACUUGCCCCAAUUUGAGCUGUGAGUACACAGCCAUCUCAGAAGGUGAAUGUUGUCCACACUGUGUCAGUGACCCCUGCCUGGCUGAUAACAUCGCCUAUGACAUCAGAAAAACUUGCCUGGACAGCUAUGGCAUUUCGAGGCUUAGUGGUUCAGUAUGGACAAUGGCUGGAGCUCCCUGCACAACCUGUAAAUGCAAGAAUGGGAAAGUCUGCUGUUCUGUGGAUUUGGAGUGUCUUCAAAAUAACUGAAGUAUUUAAAAUUGACUCAUCACAGGAGAAAAAUGGACAAAAUGACCAUCCGACAUGAUGAAGAAUAGAAUUUGGUGUGGUUGUUUUGUUUGUUUUUUUGUUUGUUUGUUUUUUACCACAGACAAUUACCAAAGUCUCCAUCUGAAAAGGGUGUUUGUGGGUUGCCUUUGGACCUACCACUUUGCUCCUUCUUGCUAACCUCGUCUAGGUGACCUACAGUGCAGUGCAUUUAAGUCUAUGGCUGUUAAAAAAAAAAAAAAAGUUUCCCGUGUCGUAAAUCACAUGUUUCCCUUAUGAGAUCAUUGGCAAACACAUUUAAAUGAUCUUAUGGUAAAUGUUGAUGUAUUUUUUUAUUUAUUUUGUGUACCAACAUAAGAGACUUGUCUCCUUUUAUUUAUUUUUUCUUGAUUUUUGGAUCAAAUUCUAAAAAUAAAGUUGCCUGUUGUGAUUUUGUCCCA